rnacentral:rRNA from 1 species
AGAGCCUGAACCAGCCAAGUCGCGUGAAGGAAGACAGUCCUAAGGAUUGUAAACUUCUUUUAUACGGGAAUAACGGGCGAUACGAGUAUUGCAUUGAAUGUACCGUAAGAAUAAGCAUCGGCUAACUCCGUGCCAGCAGCCGCGGUAAUACGGAGGAUGCGAGCGUUAUCCGGAUUUAUUGGGUUUAAAGGGUGCGUAGGUUGUUCGGUAAGUCAGCGGUGAAACCUGAGCGCUCAACGUUCAGCCUGCCGUUGAAACUGCCGGGCUUGAGUUCAGUGGCGGCAGGCGGAAUUCGUGGUGUAGCGGUGAAAUGCAUAGAUAUCACGAGGAACUCCGAUUGCGAAGGCAGCUUGCCAUACUGCGACUGACACUGAAGCACGAAGGCGUGGGUAUCAAACAGGAUUAGAUACCCUGGUAGUCCACGCAGUAAACGAUGAUUACUAGGAGUUUGCGAUAUACCGUCAAGCUCCACAGCGAAAGCGUUAAGUAAUCCACCUGGGGAGUACGCCG